rnacentral:rRNA from 1 species
CUGUCGGCCUUUGUGCGUUGUGCCAACCUGACCCCAUGCCGAACUCAGAAGUGAAACGCCGUAGCGCCGAUGGUAGUGUGGGGUCUCCCCAUGUGAGAGUAGGGAACUGCCAGGC